rnacentral:rRNA from 1 species
GCACAAGCAGCGGAGCGUGUGGUUUAAUUCGAUGCAACGACGAAGAACCUUACCAGGGUUGACAUGCUUAAAGUAGGAACUCGAAAGAGGGACGACCUGUAUCCAGUCAGGAGUUUUGCACAGGUGCUGCAUGGCUGUCGUCAGCUCGUGCCGUGAGGUGUUAGGUUAAGUCCUGCAACGAGCGCAACCCUCGUCGCUAGUUGUUUUCUCUAGCGAUACUGCCCGUAUAACGUGGAGGAAGGUGGGGAUGACGUCAAGUCAGCAUGGCCCUUACAUCCUGGGCUACACACGCGCUACAAUGGGUGAUACAACAGGUUGCAAUAGAGUAAUCUGGAGCCAAUCCCUAAAAUCAUCCUCAGUACGGAUUGUAGGCUGCAACUGCCUGCAUGAAGUUGGAGUUGCUAGUAAACGCAGGUCAGCACACUGCGUUGAAUACGUUCUCGGGCCUU